rnacentral:rRNA from 1 species
AUUGAACGCUGGCGGCAGGCCUAACACAUGCAAGUCGAGCGCGCGGCGGACGGGUGAGUACUGUCUGGGAAACUGCCUGAUGGUGGGGGAUAACUACUGGAAACGGUAGAUAAUACCGCAUACCAUCAUAUGUGCCCAGAUGGGAUUCGCUAGUAGGUGGGGUAACGGCGCACCUAGGCGCCGAUCCCUAGCUGGUCUGAGAGGAUGACCAGCCACACUGUAACUGAGACACGUUCCAUACUCCCACGAGUGCCAGCAGUGGGGAAUGGUGCACAAUGGGCGCAAUCCUGAUGCAGCAAUGCCGCGUGUGUGAAGAAGGCCUUCGGGUUGUAAAGCACUUUCAGCGGGGAGGCGGUACCCGGAGAAGAAGCACCGGCUAACUCCGUGCCAGCAGCCGCGGUAAUAC